GAUGAACGCUGGCGGCGUGCUUAACACAUGCAAGUCGAACGAGAAAUGGAGACGGAAACCUUCGGGCGGAAGGCUUCAGUUCGAGUGGCGGACGGGGGAGUAACGCGUGGGUAACCUGCCUCAUACAGGGGGAUAACAGUUGGAAACGACUGUUAAUACCGCAUAAGACCACAGCACCGCAUGGUGCGGGGGUAAAAACUCCGGUGGUAUGAGAUGGACCCGCGUUCGAUUAGCCAGUUGGCGGGGUAACGGCCCACCAAAGCGACGAUCGAUAGCCGAUCUGAGAGGAUGACCGGCCACAUUGGGACUGAGACACGGCCCAAACUCCUACGGGAGGCAGCAGUGGGGAAUAUUGCACAAUGGGGGAAACCCUGAUGCAGCGACGCCGCGUGAGUGAAGAAGUACUUCGGUAUGUAAAGCUCUAUCAGCAGGGAAGAAAAUGACGGUACCUGAGUAAGAAGCCCCGGCUAACUACGUG
rnacentral:rRNA from 1 species